GACGGAGGGUGCUAGCGUUGUUCGGAAUUACUGGGCGUAAAGGGCGCGUAGGCGGCCUGGUCAGUCGGAUGUGAAAGCCCUGGGCUCAACCCAGGAAGUGCACUCGAAACUGGCAGGCUAGAGUACUGGAGAGGUUGGUGGAAUUCUCGGUGUAGAGGUGAAAUUCGUAGAUAUCGAGAGGAACACCGGUGGCGAAGGCGGCCAACUGGACAGAUACUGACGCUGAGACACGAAAGCGUGGGGAGCAAACAGG
rnacentral:rRNA from 1 species